UACGUAGGGUGCAAGCGUUAAUCGGAAUUACUGGGCGUAAAGCGUGCGCAGGCGGUUUUGUAAGUCUGUCGUGAAAUCCCCGGGCUCAACCUGGGAAUUGCGAUGGAGACUGCAAGGCUAGAAUCUGGCAGAGGGGGGUAGAAUUCCACGUGUAGCAGUGAAAUGCGUAGAGAUGUGGAGGAACACCGAUGGCGAAGGCAGCCCCCUGGGUCAGAUUGACGCUC
rnacentral:rRNA from 1 species